rnacentral:lncRNA from 1 species
UAACACGGCCAUGCUACCGAGGGAUGGACCCACGAUAACACGAAGCCAAAAUUUAUCUUCUUAAAUAUAAUAACAGGUGUAUCACAAAUAAAUGUAAUAAUAAAGUUCAAUUCAAAUAUUUAAUUAAACCAAAACUGGUUCAGAGCAUCUAAAUCCAAAGAUAAAAUAAUCCAAGUCUUAAAAUUCAUAAUGACUACAAUCC